AAGACCUUGCGCUUUUGGAGCGGCCGAUGCCUGAUUAGCUAGUUGGUGGGGUAAUGGCCUACCAAAGCUUCGAUCAGUAGCUGGUCUGAGAGGACGGCCAGCCACACUGGGACUGAGACACGGCCCAGACUCCUACGGGAGGCAGCAGUGGGGAAUUUUGGACAAUGGGCGCAAGCCUGAUCCAGCCAUGCCGCGUGAGUGAAGAAGGCCUUCGGGUUGUAAAGCUCUUUCAGCCGGGAAGAAAAGGUUGCGAUUAAUAAUCGCAAUUUAUGACGGUACCGGAAGAAGAAGCACCGGCUAACUACGUGCCAGCAGCCGCGGUAAUACGUAGGGUGCGAGCGUUAAUCGGAAUUACUGGGCGUAAAGGGUGCGCAGGCGGUUUUGUAAGUCAGAUGUGAAAUCCCCGGGCUUAACUUGGGAACU
rnacentral:rRNA from 1 species